UGGGGCCAUAGCUCAGCUGGGAGAGCACCUGCUUUUCACGCAGGGGGUCAGCGGUUCGAUCCCGCUUGGCUCAACCA
rnacentral:tRNA from 1 species